ensembl:snRNA Gm22943 predicted gene, 22943
UUGCUUGUUUCAGCAGCAAUGAACUAAAAUUAGAACAAUACAAAGAAGAUUAGCAUGGGCCCUGCAAGCAAGGAU